GACGAACGCUGGCGGCGUGCUUAACUUAUGCAAGUCGAACGAUGAAGCUGGAGCUUGCCCCGGUGGAUUAGUGGCGAACGGGUGAGUAACACGUGAGCAAUCUGCCCUUGACUCUGGGAUAACUGCGGGAAACUGUAGCUAAUACCGGAUACUUUCACUGGAAGGCAUCUUCUGGUGAAGAAAGAAUUUCGGUCAAGGAUGAGCUCGGGGCCUAUCAGCUUGUUGGUGAGGUAACGGCUCACCAAGGCGACGACGGGUAGCCGGCCUGAGAGGAUGACCGGCCACACUGGGACUGAGACACGGCCCAGACUCCUACGGGAGGCAGCAGUGGGGAAUAUUGCACAAUGGGCGCAAGCCUGAUGCAGCAACGCCGCGUGAGGGAUGAAGGCCUUCGGGUUGUAAACCUCUUUUAGCAGGGAAGAAGCGAAAGUGACGGUACCUGCAGAAAAAGCACCGGCUAACUACGUGCCAGCCGCCGCGGUAA
rnacentral:rRNA from 1 species